GUUCCAUUCGACAUCAUAGAUGGCCUACUAUAUAUAUUUUAUCACAGUUUUACUUUACGCCGAAUCGCACGGAUAUCACCUCCACAGAUUUCGUUGAAUCGUCGCAGUUCGCAAGGUAAUGGGACAGAUAUGGCCCAUAUUGAGGAUCGAUGGCCAAACCUCGACAUUUUACGAAAUGCUUUCGACUUCCAUCACCAAGGGCUGACAAUAAGGGAGUCUUAAGUCGAAUAUCGUUUUUAAUGGAUAGCACGAUCCAUUUUUACGACGAUCAGACGUCUCCGGCCCGCGAUGAGAAUUUAAAAUCUCGUUGGAUAUAGGUUACGUUCGAUGUAUCGUUGAUGGAAUAUCGAUCGAAGAUGGAGGUCUCCUGGUAAUCUUUGUGACUGGAUAAAGUUUAAAAAUGGCUGUUCAUUUUUAUAAAAGUUUGAAGUUUGCUGGAAAAGUGUAUCACGUUCUUGAGGUACAAAUGGUGUUUUUAGCCGGUUGAAUGGGAGCAUUGGACGUUGUUCGGGAAUGCGUGGAGCGCAAUGUUGGAAUAUUGAAGAUCGAGAUACCUCUUAUAUUGUAUAUUUUCAAGAUUCAAUGGAGUUGGAAGGAAAUGGAUAUUCGUUUUCGUGGAUAUUUUCUGUUAAAAUAAAAGUAAAUUCGAUUGUAAAAGAAUACGAAAGAUUCGUUACAUGUUUCUUAGUUUAAAUCUCUUAUCUGAUGCAGCAGCAACCAACGAACGAAAGAAAAAGAAAAAAGAAGAGAAACAAAAUUUCAAACGAAAAUUCCUCACGAAAUCCGCAAAAUUGAAUGCUCAAAUAUCGCGUAAUUAAACGUGGUCAUUUGAAAAUCGUGCAAGACGAAUUAAACCCAUUAAAAUGGGGAAUUAACACGUUAGAGGAUGCGAUUCGUUUCGUUAUUUGUAGCCAUGUCAACGCGCAUGGAAAAAAUACAAGGAGGAGAUCCAUAGAUAAUACGUUAAGUUAGGGGUUUGUGGUUUCUUUUAAUUGCCAGUAGGAAAAGGGGUGAACCUCGUUGACUUUUGUUCCAUCUUUUUACAGUUGGAUGGGGGAGAGAAAUUAAUGAUCCGCGUCUGUGUUUCGUACACGUCAUUAAUCUCGUCGAGUCGUCUCGUGGACCGAAGUAAAAAUACGCCUAGACAAGCAACGCCUACGUUCACUAUCGGCCAAUUAUUUUAUCCAUCACCCCCACGAGGGGUGAGACACGUUAAUUGUCCGCAACCGUAAAUCCUCCACGCUGCGUGAACACGUACAACAUUUUACACCGAGGGUUGUUACGUUUUUCGCGUUUGAGUUGCUUAUUUUAUGGUACGUUUGAGAAAUUUAGGAGGGUCUGAGGAUCGUUUUAAUGGAUCUUAUUAUCAAAUUUUGAAAUUUGUGGCGAAGAUAUUUUUCGUAUUUUCGAAUAUUUAUGUGUAUAGAUUUUGUUUUAAAUUUAAUAUUGAAUUUUGAAUUAUUUUAAAAUUUGUAUUAUUAUUCUUGUAAUUAAAUUUAAAUUUGGAUAUUUUAUUUUGUAGAAAUAGAUUAGGAUACAGUGAUUUUGUUUGAAAUUUGAAUGUUUCAAACUUUCAAAUCUUAAUCUUUAAAACUACUAUUUUUGAAAACAUAAAUUCUUAUUUUGAAACCUCGAAACUCUUCAAAUCUUUUUACUUUUGCAAUUUAAAACUCAAAUAAUAUUGUGACUUCUAAAUUUUAUCUUCUACCAAUAUUCGAAAUAAUUGAACAUUUGCAAAAUAUGCCAUCGACAAUUUGGUCGACAGAGCAAAUUUCAAACGAUCAGUCAGUGAAAUUAUUUCGCGUCUCAUCAUAUCCCCGACAACAUUCCUACAUAGCCUGAUAAAUUUCACCACAUUGGACAAUGUGUUCGCGUGUUCAUCUAUGGAGAUUACAACUUCCUCUCUUUCAACAACGACCGACAUCUCGUAAAUUUCCACGUAAUCAGAACCUUUAACAUAAUUUUGCCAACCAACAGGCAUUAGUUUUCCCGAAUUGUUCGCGAAUUAUGCUCUAUUCAAAGUUUCCAUAAUAAAUAUACGUAACUAUAGGCAAACAGCAGCGUAAUCAGAAUGCUUGGAAAGGAAUAUCUCGAAUCAUUUCACGCCCCAAAGAUAAUGUCUAGAAAUAAUUAAUCUGCUUUUUAUUGCGUAUUUUUAUGUGUAAUAAACGCUCGAAGAUCCUUCCAUUUCCACUCGUUUCACCGUGUGUUCGAUAAUUUGAUUCUUCCACUCGAAUUAUCCUUAAAAUUCCUUGUUAUUGGAUCAAGUUUGUUUCUCUGGAGCAAUGGAUAUUGAACAAUGCACGCAUUGAGUUAUAUUAAAAAAUUAAAAUUUAGCAAAUUUUUCCUUUUUUUUUUUGUUUAAGGAAAUAUGUUUUUUUUCAGUAUUAAGCUCAAAGGAGCAAAUUUAUUUUUCGUAAUUAUUUUUUCAUAAAUUUUUGAAGUAUUAAAUUACCACCAAUUUAUAAUAUUAAAAUAUGAUAGAAGAAAUUAUUUUAUAUUGACAACGAGUAAUGAAAUUUAUAUGGUUUAAUUUGUCGAUUCAUUAUUAUUUUAUCAAUCAAAUACAAAUGUAAUUAUCAAGACAAAUGUAAUCGAAAAUUUCUAUAAACGUUAUUUUAUUUUUAUAUCACGCGAAAGAUAUGAUAAAUUCGAUUUAUUCACGUUAAAUUAUUUUUUUCCUAUCUUGUUAUAUUACCUUUAACAGCUCAAAAUCGUUCUUGCUGCAAACUUCUCGAAAUUAAGUAAAAUAAAUGAAAUGAAGAACACGAAUAACUUUUUGAUCAAAAAGUUAAUAUUAUAAUUUGACGGAUUACACCCAUAAAGGGGUUAAUCGAACUUAAUUAACCCAAUAACAACGUUCGUCAAGUUUUUAAGCAGAUUUCAGCCCAAGUGUUAAGCAAAUUCCUCCAACCAAUCUCUCUAUUUUAAGUUUUACACUUCGCGAAGUUCGAGCGUGAAAUUCGUGAGUUAAAAUUUUUAAGAAAAAAAAAUCAUUUUAUCCUUCUCCCACAUCUGUAGAACAAUUUUCGAAACACAGUGGGCGAAGAAAGAAAUUACAAGUUGUCCCCUCCCCUCCCCUCCUCAACGAGGAACGACGAUAAUGUUUCUCCUCGCAUUAAAAGUUUUAGCGAGCCCGUAUUAAAUUGAAUUUACCAGGCGAAGUUUAUUCGCAACUUUAUAUGUCGGAAUUUUGGUGUUUUUAAAAUUGUGGAACUAAUCGUGGCAAUUUUUAUUGCUUCGAUAUAUUAAUUCGACGAAAUUUACGAAUGGAUGAAUAAGGUAAUUUUUAUAAAUGGAUACAUGACAUUGAGAACGAUUGUCGACGGAAAUAAGUUUUUUAAAUGCAAUUUGUGAAAAAAUAUCGUUCGGUGUAAAUCUCGAGAGUUUCAAAUGGACUCGCACUCUUGUUCGUUGUAGCAAUGAGGGAAACAGUUGGUCUAAUGCACGCCAUUUUUCUAGACACCUCCAACUAACCGUGGAAAAGAGAAAAAUAAAAUUAUGAUAUCUUUUUUUUUUUUAUAUAUCUCGUAUAUUUCCAAGAUUUUAAAAAUCCUUCGAAUGAUUUACAGAAGUUUUUUAAUUAAUCUCUUUCGUUUCGAUACUCGAAAUUAUUCAAUAAUAAUAUGAAAAUAAUUAUAUAAUAUCGAAUUAUUUACAAAGUUCGAAAUUCACGCGAAACACAGAUAAUCCGUUAAAAAUAACAAUUAUACGCAUUAAAAACAAUAAAAAUACAAUUAUAAUGAAAUAAGACGUAAAUACAAUCUAAUCUCCAACGAUGAAUUACAUUCAUGUAUCACAAUGUAAAUUAAUCCUUUUAACGUGAUUUUUCCAUGGAAAACAAUCCCAAUCAUUGGACACGAUUGCGCAUAGAUCGAAAAAAUGGCAGCCUCCUCCUCUUCCAUUCGAUCUCUUCGAUUGAUUCACCUGCGAGACCAUUAAUUACAGAGGGGAAGUCGGCUGUUACCAUUAUUCGUGGAUCGUUAAGCGCAAAUUGAAGAGCUCGACGAUUUCGUAGCGGUUGCACUUUCUUCGAGCUUGAAUCACGCUUAAUUGCCCCAUCGUGCAAGCUUAACACGAGAAUACGUGUGUCGUUGCGGAGGGGGGCGCAUUCGUCGCAGGCGUUUCAUUGGCUUCUUUUUACCCCCACUUCCUUAAAAUUAACGAAUCGUUCUUCGGAUUCUUCGUGACUUUCGCGUGACUUUCUCUUGGAGAGACGAUUUCAGACGAGUUCUUUUAAGAAGAAAUUCCUUCUUUGAGAGAGAAAGAGAGAAAGAGAGAGAGAGAGUUGUAUUUUCAAUUAAUUAUCCUUUGUAAUUCGAGAUUCUACGAUUUGUAUUUCUUUUUAAGGGAGAAUUCUAUUUUGUAUUUUCAAUUAGUUGUUCUUUGUUGUUUGGGAUUGUUUGCAAUUUGUAUUUCUUUGUGGGGAGAAGAGUUUAUUUUUAAUCAAUUGUUCCCUGUUAUUUGGGAUUCUGAAAAUUUUUCUUUCAACAGAUUGUAUUUUUAAUUAAUUAUUAUCGAGUAAUUCGAGAAAUUCUUUUGUAUUUCUUUAUCGAAGAAUUAAAGGUUUUCAAAUAGCGUACGAGGAAAUUAUAUAUAUUUCACUUCGAUCAACUGGAAUCAACUAUUAUGAAUAUUUCUCUCUUGUUGUUAUUUUAUCGGAAUUAUAUUUUAAAAGUGGAUACGCAGAGUAACGAAUUCACAAUACCUUCAUUUCAAUCGUGAAAGGGAAGAUGCAAAAGACAAUUACUGGAAACACUUAAUGGAAACAAUGGCGCACGUUGUACGAAUUAAAACGUAUUAUAACAAAGCGUGAAUAUAAUAGAUUUAAAAAACUCGAAAGAUAUUCAACCCCUUCACCGUAUUGUAUAAUUUUUCAUUCACGAUUCAUCAAAUCGAUUCUACUACGACGUACGUAAGUACAUUCGAGAAUGAAGCUUCGUUGCAAAUAAUUAUUACGAGUGAUAAAAAUUGGAAAAACACGGCAAGUCUUGAUAGAAUUUUAAUUUAGAUCUUUUGACAACAACAAACAAAUUUAAGAUCUUAAAAACUUUUUUUCCGCAUCAAUUGAUCCAAUUUAUCUCGACUUAAAGUGGACUAGAAAUAUUGAAACGUAUUGCAAUGCAGAUAUUGUGCCAAGUGAUGGGUUUAAAUCAAUGGUUCGAACGAAUGUUGGAAGUGACUUAAACCCAUCAUUCGCAUAACAAAUAAUGUAUAAUAUAUAAUGCAAUAUCUAUUUAAUUCUCAUAUCUUAUAUCAUGCGCGUAUUUGCUCGAAUUAUAUUUGCGAUAUUAUCGAUUCGUAUUUCAUUUUAUCGUUAAUUGUAUUUUUCGAAAAACUGAAAUUAAAAUAGAAUACCGAUUUGAAAAUAAUCCGUCAUUUUAUCCGUUGUCGAAUCUACGAAAAAAGUUAGUCCGCUUUUUGUUACUAGCUAGCUACGUUUAACCCCGGCUGUAAUAAAUGGGAAAAGUUUUAAUCGUGACGAUGCUUUUCUGCCUUAUUGGGCAGAGUUUCGCCUAUAAAAUAUUAUAAUUUUUCCAAGGAGAAUAUCCUCGUGAAAUUUUACAAAGGACAUUUGCAACUUUAUAAUUCGUCGAUAUGAUUCGAACGAAUGUUAAAUAUUUAAAAAUAUAAUUUCAAUCGAUAUCGUUUUUUCACGAUGUAUCUUUAUCUAUAUUUUUACAAUAAUUAAUAAUUAAUAAUUAUUAUUUUAAUAUUAUAAUACAAUAUUAUACGUAAUUAUAAUAUAUUAUAUAUUAUAUUUAUAUAAUACAAUAUAUAAUAUAUAAUAUUAUAAUUAAUAUUAUUAUAAUAUUAUAAUAUAUAAUAUAUAAUUAGUUACAAUAAUUAAUUUAAAUGAUAUUCAAUAAUACAAUAUUCUCGCGAGGAGCGAAGAGCAACACGUCCGUUCCGUUCCGCGUUCGA